rnacentral:rRNA from 1 species
UACGAGGGGGGCAAGCGUUGUUCGGAAUUAUUGGGCGUAAAGGGCGCGUAGGCGGUUCGUACAGUCAGACGUGAAAUUCCUGGGCUCAACCUGGGGGCUGCGUUUGAUACGUGCGGACUUGAGUGCGGAAGAGGGUCGUGGAAUUCCCAGUGUAGAGGUGAAAUUCGUAGAUAUUGGGAAGAACACCGGUGGCGAAGGCGGCGACCUGGUCCGAUACUGACGCUGAGGCGCGAAAGCGUGGGGAGCAAACAGG